rnacentral:rRNA from 1 species
GUGGGGAAUAUUGCGCAAUGGGCGAAAGCCUGACGCAGCGACGCCGCGUGGGGGAUGACGGCCUUCGGGUUGUAAACCUCUUUCAGCAGGGACGAAGCGAAAGUGACGGUACCUGCAGAAGAAGCACCGGCCAACUACGUGCCAGCAGCCGCGGUAAUACGUAGGGUGCAAGCGUUGUCCGGAAUUAUUGGGCGUAAAGAGCUCGUAGGCGGUUCGUCGCGUCGGCUGUGAAAUCCCGAGGCUCAACCUCGGGUCUGCAGUCGAUACGGGCGGACUUGAGUUCGGCAGGGGAGACUGGAAUUCCUGGUGUAGCGGUGAAAUGCGCAGAUAUCAGGAGGAACACCGGUGGCGAAGGCGGGUCUCUGGGCCGAAACUGACGCUGAGGAGCGAAAGCGUGGGGAGCGAACAGG